rnacentral:rRNA from 1 species
UGGGGAAUUUUGCACAAUGGGGGAAACCCUGAUGCAGCGACGCCGCGUGAUUUAGAAGGCCUUCGGGUUGUAAAAAUCUUUUUUAUGGGAUGAAAAUGACAGUACCAUAAGAAUAAGGUCCGGCUAAAUACGUGCCAGCAGCCGCGGUAAUACGUAUGGACCGAGCGUUGUCCGGAAUCAUUGGGCGUAAAGGGUACGUAGGCGGCCCAGUAAGUUAGAAGUGAAAUAAUAUAGCUCAACUAUAUAAAGCGUUUAAAACUGCUAGGCUUGAGAGAUGGAAGGGAAAGUGGAAUUCCUAGUGUAGCGGUGAAAUGCGCAGAUAUUAGGAAGAAUACCGGUGGCGAAGGCGACUUUCUGGUCAUCAUCUGACGCUGAGGUACGAAAGCGUGGGUAGCAAACAGG